rnacentral:lncRNA from 1 species
UUUAUAUUUAAAGGGAUAGUAGCUACGAUUUUGACAAAAAUAUGAACAAGUUUUAAAGCUGCUAAAAUCAAAGAUAUGUACUAAAUAUAAGCAAUAAGAUCGCUAGAAUGUUUUCAUAAACUACAGAAGUGUUAAUAAUUGAUAAUUCAUAUCGUGUUGUGUGCCUAUUCAUCUCAUUAAUUAUGCAUCGGGUUUACUUCCCGAACUUUGCCGACACAGCGAGUGAGCUAACCAAGAUAUAUAUAGAUACGAACACGUGCUUUUUGUUUUCUUACAUAUUU